UAGCAGCUUCUCUAUCUUGUCCACCACAUGCACCACCAAUGACAGCUCCAAUUCUCUCCUUUUGUGAUUAGCUAACUACUAAACUUUGGGACUUUUGCUUUUGGUGAGGUUAUAUUGAAUAUAGCUAGUUAGGAACACUUCCUAGUAUUUUUAUUCAAAAAAAAAACAAGCUUUUCUUUUAUGAAUCAAUGGAAGAAAAACAAGAGAGGGAGAAGAGUUCUUGUUGUCG
rnacentral:misc_RNA from 1 species